UACGAAGGGGGCUAGCGUUGCUCGGAAUUACUGGGCGUAAAGCGCACGUAGGCGGAUCUUUAAGUCGGGGGUGAAAUCCUGGAGCUCAACUCCAGAACUGCCUUUGAUACUGAGGACCUUGAGUUCGGGAGAGGUGAGUGGAACUGCGAGUGUAGAGGUGAAAUUCGUAGAUAUUCGCAAGAACACCAGUGGCGAAGGCGGCUCACUGGCCCGAUACUGACGCUGAGGUGCGAAAGCGUGGGGAGCAAACAGG
rnacentral:rRNA from 1 species